rnacentral:lncRNA from 12 species
UUGUAACCCAAAAGGUAUCAUUUUUUCAAAUUUUAUCUGACACUGUACUUCUGAGACUGCACUGAUUCUGUCUCUGCCAACUGGCCAGUUUCUAUCCAUCCAAAGGAAGUUUGCAGGAGUCAUAAUUCCAAACGCCAAUAUCAUAUCAUCACCUAAGCCAAGACAGAUGAUAGACCAUUUAUUUCGUCUCUAUACUACUGACUUGAAUACUCCAUGGCCUCCUCAUCCCAGCUGUGCUCAGGUCUCACUGGCUGAAAUCAAUGGGGGGUUUUUUUGAGCUGUGAAGGUUUUAAUUGAUUAGAUGGAGCUGGUGAAGGGGACAGGCAGCCAUACCUGCUGGGCUGCGAGGGUCCUGCCGCGUGCAUUCCAAACACCUGUGUCUCUGAAGAUAAAAUUCAGCAGAAACACUUACAGUAAGUGUUUUUCCAUUGUUUAAAUGGAACACCCGGGACACUCAUUUCUUUCCACAUAAAAGUAAACAUCCUCUCCUGCUCUCUAGACAGAUGUACAACACUCCUUACUGUGUUAUCAACAUUAGGCAGAGUACCUGGCUACUGGCGCAAAUUAAGAGUGGUCCUUGAAUUAUGGAGAUGUGGUCUUGCACUAGUAAGUUUGCAGAAAAGUCAUCCACACACAUCAAGGCCACUCAAGAGUCUGUUAACUUGAGUGUUGUUCUUCUUCCACUACUCCUUGCCAGGCCCCGGAAAGAUGACACAAAUAUAUUUUUUCCAAAUUAGGGUGGUCAUUUCCUUCUCUUCAUAAAUUAUAGCUGCCUCCGUUUCCUGUUUUUAGCCUCUUGGACCUUAGGUUAAUUUUUUUUUUUUGUAUUGUCUUUUUUUUUAGUUUUUUUGAAGUUGAGAGGAGAUGAGGUCGUGGUGUUUUUCUAUCCCACCUCAUCCUCAAGUUACUAACCAUUCUCAUUCAUUAUUUGCAGACUGUUUUAUAAUGAAUGACCAGGUACAAUGCACACUGCUGCGGAAGCCACCAUCGGCCCUGCCUCACAGAUCUCUGAGCUACAUAAAGAUGCCUACAGCCAGACUCUACAUCACAGGUCAGGACCGUCACCUGUUACAGACGAGGGGGCAUGUGCAUGUGUGUAAGACUUACUGGACUUCAGGAUGUGAAGGCCCACUGUAUUACCCCGUUUCCUCUUCCUCUCUUCUCCCUUAUGGCUCACAUCAGGUAUAUAGUCCAUGGGAAAAGGAAGAGAGUGAGACGAAAGGGCGCCAAGUUCCCAUAAGAGCUGUUCCAAUUCUCAACAAUCCAUAACCAGCUUUACCAGCUCAGGUCAGUCGAGGGUUUGCCUUAUUGUUGUGAGUUUAUUAACACUGGAGCAAAUAAUGGUCGAUUGGUUACAUGGUUUGAAGCCAGGCAGACACUUUGCUCUAAUAAAACAAGGUGAAAAUGACACAUAAGUACAUCAGUUUCAACCAAUUUGGUAAUUUGCCAACCUACAGGCUCUCCAUUUUAGCAAAAGCACAUGCCAAAAGGCUUUAAUAUCAGUAUAUGAUAGUAACUCUUUCAUAAAUGCACUAUUUGGCACAGGUUUGUUGAUUUAGAGACAAUGCAGUCAGGGGGGCCGGUCACAAAGAAAGUGUUUUUGUAUUCCAAUGCUCUGCUUUUCCAUUGUUUUCUAUAUAAAUUUGCAUUGGAUGGACAUCUUUGAUAGUUACGCUCAUGUCUUUCGGAGUGUUUCGCACAUGAAACAACUUUUUAUUCCAUUCCGAUGCCCACUUCUUGCAUUUUUAACAGCAAGAAAUGCAUUCUGCGUGAAAGACUUUUGAAAGGAAUGCUCUGGGUUCAGAAGGUAAGGUAAAUUGAUGUCAUUUGUGGCAUAAUAGUACCACAAAAAAUAUUUUGAUCUUUAUUCUACGCAAAAUCUGGAUUACAGCAAGGCACUUACAAUGGAAGUGAAUGGGACCAAUCCAAAAAAUAUGGCAAAACUCACAGUUUACAUAAAAGAUGAACAUAAUUUGACUUUUUUAAAACUCAAUCAUGCUAACAGGUGUAUUGUUAUAACAUGAUCUUAGUGUAAAAAAGUCAGUUACUAAACUUUUCUUUCUAAACUUACAUCUUCCACAAAAUUAGACCUCAUUUACCUGUUGCAAGUGCCUCGCUGUAACCUUGAUUUUGCCUCUUUUUAAUGAAAACGUGGGAUGAGUCGAAAUUAUUUUUUGAGCCACACAUUCUGUCGACUAAGCUUGACUUGUACUGAACCCGGAAUAUUCCACCCUCACUGUAAGUGUCCAUGGUGGUUCAUUGACCUUCUUGAAGAGGCCUUCUGCUUCCAUUACACAACAUACACAAACACACUCAAACAUUGAGUGUAAAUAUGUCAGAUCUUUACAUGGAAAUGGUUUGGUUUGGAAUUGGAGGAUGGUGGGGUGGGAGAGGCAUUUCUGUAGCCCUCGGAGUGAGGGAUGUCCUCUUACACAUAUGCACAUACACACUGGGCACUUGAAGUGAAUUAUUGUUCGCAAGUGGAAACUUGGCCCCCCGACCCGGCUGCCGGUCCAGUGCUGACUAAGAGCGCUGUCUGUGUUUUUGUGCCCCCCAUUCCCCUCUCUCUCUCACACACACACACACACACACACACACACACACACACACACACACUGUACAGCUGCAGUCUUUCUCCUCUGGGCCAUUCACCUCUGAGCUCCUGCUGUAAAUUCCACUGGAAACUGGAAACACAAACAUGCCCCUGCCCAAAGCGGACUAACAUCUUUCUUGCGGUCUAAUUUUUGAAUGUUAUACUUUACCAUAUCCCAUAACCCCGCCCUGGCUGCCGUUAUUCUCAUUGACGCAUCAUCAGACUACGUUAUGUGUGUUUUGCGGGAUGCACUUUGUGCAAACAUUAUUUCUAUCCUCUCAUGGAAAAUAAGCCAGGACUGUCUGUCAAUGAGGGGAGUUUAUUGUUGACUUAAUUAAGGAGUCUUACACCACACAAACCCCAUAUUCACCCCCAUGUAGUAUUUCUGAGAAGAGACAAUUAUUGUAAUUACAGCUGUCUGAUGACAUGUUUGGUAUAAUGAAUGUUUCUCAUUAAGUUUCUCUAACCCCAAACAACCUGCCCCAAUAGAAACCCAUGCCUGUUUCGCAUACUGCAGCAGUAGCAGCGUCUGAUAGCGGGAACCCCAUGUUUAUAGGAUUUAGAUCGUUUGAAAUUAUAAUAACGUGUCUUGCCACUAAACCUUGCUUUAAGUUAUAUGUCUUCUGGUAUUUUAUUAUACAGCGGCCCCGGAAAGUGUUUGGACGCUUAUGAAUUUCAUUGCAUUAGAUAAAUUGUCAAACAGAGUAGUUUUUUUUUUAUAUAUAUACACAAAGAAAUAUAGCAUAAUCAUUCUUUUUAAAGCAAAUAUGACUUAAAAGAUUUGCAAUAUUUUAGUUACACAGUGAAACAGCAGGUACAGUUCAAUAUGCUUCCUUUAUUCUAUAAAGGCAGAAUUUAUUGGAUCAAAAUACAGAAAAAACUGUAAUAUUGUGAAAUAAUAUUAAAAUAAAAAAUAAGUCAUUUCUUUUUAAAAAUAUAUUUUAUAUUUGUUGGUAAAGCUGAAUUUUUUAGUAUCAUUACUCCAGUCUUUAGUGUCAGAUGGUCCUUCAGACAUCAUUCUAAUAUGAUGAUUUGAUGCUCAAAAACAUUUAUUAUUAUUAUCAAAGUUGGAAUCUGUGAUACAUUUAACCCUUUUUUUAUAAAAAAUAAGUUGAAAAGAACAACCUUUUUCAAUAGCCGUCUUUUGUAACAUUAUGCAUAUAUCUUUACUGUCACUUUUAAUCAGUUUAAUGUUUCCUUGCAGUAUACAGUAUUCAUUUUCAUAACUUUCCUGUGUCAAACAUUAGUGGAACAUGUUCCCACUUCAUUUGAAGGAAAUUUUCUGAACUAAAUAUCACAUUGAGACACAUGGUUAAAAGUGGCAGCAAAAUGGCUCAGAAAAGUGAAGUUACAGUAGUUCUGAGAGAGAAGCUCUAAAGUUGUUUAUUUGAAUAUGUCAUUAUGUUUGAUAUUUUAUUAUCUACGCAACAAAAUGUAUAUAUUUCAAGUUUGGCCUAAGCAUCCACAAACCUUUUGAGGCCACUGUAUGUAUAUUAUUGUAAUGCUAAAUAUAGUCAGACUUCUGUCUUUUCUCUCUGCUUUCUCUGUGUUUUUUGUGUCCCAUCAGAAUGAAGGAAGUUCUGUGCUGACAUUGUGGAAAAAGCUGUAGUAAGAGCCAGAUUGCUGGAGCAGGGAGAUUGGUGACCAGAGGAAGUAAUAAUAGCAUGUGUCCUGACUGAUAGGGUACUGGACCCUCUUGUGUAAGUCUGUUAAUGAGCCAUUUCCACUGUCCUCUUCUUCCACAUUGAUUUGAGUCAGCUGACAUUCCAUGACAGCUCUUUUGUCAUCUUCUGCAGAGUUUCAACAGUGACGCUGUUAAGUCUCGUGACGGCUUCCUUGCCUGCCCUGAGGAAUUUUUCCUGUCAAAGAAGUAUUUUUGACCCAAGAAUGCUUUGUUGUUCACUCUGAACAGCUUGUUAAGCAAACAUUCUUAUCUCAGAUCUCGAUAAGAAUCCAAGACCGCCACCAACUUCCCUCUUCUGACAUCACAAGUAUGUGUGGCAUUAUGUCCAGCAAGGUCAUACAUUAGUAUUCAUGUGAUAAUUUAUAUAAAUAUAUUUUUAUUUUAUUUUAUUAUAUUUCUAAAUAAUGAUUUUUUUAUAAUGAUUGCGUAUUUUUUAAAUAAUUGUGUAGAAUUAAUUGCAAUUGUUACAUCUUUAAACAAUGUAAUACUUUAAAACUUUUUAAUUAAUUAUAUAAUUUUAUGUUCAUUUACGCAUUUAGCAGACAUAUAUAGAAUAUAGAAUGGUAUGUUUAAUAUUAACGUAAUUAAUUAUAUAAUUAUUACCUUUUAAACUGUAAAUUAACUGUACAUUUUCUUGUGGUUCUAUGUUUAUGGACAGUCCCAUGUGCAUUUUAAAUAUUAAAUCAUACCUUGAAUUCCUAAACUUUGACACUGUGUCAUCGUAGACAGUAAACGGUCGCACAUAUACUGUAUGUAUCGGUAUAAAAUAAUAAGUUUAAGAAGUAAAAAAUGGUGGCUGCACUUGCGCAUCCGUGCACUGCUGGGACAUCUGCUCAAGGCCCAGGCAUCACUGUGUGCCGCCAAUGGGAGAGGCUCCAAAUAAAAAUCUCAGAAGUGGAAACUGGAACAAAUAAAAAUAAGAUUCAUGUCCUCUCCACUUCAGAGGUUUUGGAAGCCUGGAAGGAAACUUGUUUGUCAGCCUCUUGUGGCUUAGCAAGGGCUACAUGUUACUUUUAGAUGAAAAUAUGGUGCAAACCAAAGUGGUCCGGCCUAAUAGAUUACUCCAGAGAUUCAGCAAACAUAUGCAUCACAUGCUCCACAUUUACAAGCUGCUUGCACUAAAGCUGAGCAAUCAAUGCACUCGCUGACACCUCCCCUCCCCACACUAUCUGAUUGAACAUUAGCAAACCUUUGAGCCUUGCUUAACGCAGGUUAAAAUGACAUGGUCUUAAAAAGUUGAAGUUUUGCUGUAUAUCAAAACCCACUGCUCAGUGAAGACAGUCUUGUGCAGCGAUGUCCUUCUUGUUAAUGAUAAAACUCAUUAGGUGAAAGGAUCUUGUCAAUAGCACCCAGCACAAACGCUGCUGCCUGUUUAUCAUCAACUCUGUCUUUGUUUUUUUUUUUCCAGCAGGUUGAGCAGAGGUCCUUGUGUGAUAGUAUAACCAGGAGAUGUCUUGAUCUUUGGGCUCCCAAAUAAUUAUAGCUACUGGAUAGUGAAGAGUCUCUGUCUAUAUAAAGGGUCAAAACACAAAGAUGGUGAGAGCAUGAAUCUCAUCAUAGUGGAAUAAUCUUCAGCAGAAUUCCUCAAAAUCAGAAAACCUUGAUGACACAGCACUCACUUGAAUACCUGAAUCAUAACAUCAUAGCCAUCUAUACUAAGGCAAGUUCUACUAUAUUUAAUUGAUAAAUGCAUUAGUAGUAGUGUUAGUAUUUUGGUUUUUUGGCAUUUACGUAUGUAAUAUUGUCAUUUAAUUGUAAU